rnacentral:lncRNA from 1 species
AUGAUUAGCAACUGGCAACCAUCAGCAGCAGACCCACUGUGGAGUCUCCUGGGAAAGUGUGAACAUGACAGUAAACAGCUUACAUCAAAGACAUUUCAAUUCUGCAACAAGCCUUUCUGCUUCGGAGAGGAGGAAUUUCCUGGAAGAAAAGGAAAACAAUCUCUUCACAUUUUGCUCACCAAAGGGCAGUGGUGAGGCCCCUGCCUCGUGAAUAACCUUCAUUCUGAGUGUGCUGUAAAUAUUGAAUAGAUUGUAAAAGUCUGCACAUAUAUAUUAAUAUCAUUGCAUUCUUCAUAAUGAAUCAUUGCAGCAUACUUUUUAAACUUGAUCUUGUUUUUUAUCUUUAACAUAGUAGGAAAUUGAUUACAGAGGUCUAUGGCAUGACUUUUUCUUUACUGACCAUCCAAAUUUCUGAGAAAUGCAAAUUUUUAAUUUUUUCUUUCACGAAUUGCAUGUAGAUACAGAAAGUGAUAAUUCCUUUAUAUUUAGAGCUAGUCAAAGGCUCCUUGAAGAUAGUGGCCAAGUUUAAUUUUCAUAGCUAAAUAUUUUCAGUGAGGAUUUUUAAAUAAUUUAAAAGAUAAACAGAAGAUAUAGUAUGUUAAUAAGAUUUUAAAGAAACAUAGAAUAACCUGCAUCUUUUAGGGGUUUUUAAUGUUUAUUUAUUUUUUCUUUAGUAAUCUCUACACCCUACAUGGGGCUCAAACUCACAACCCCAAAAUCAAGGGUCCCUUGCUUUUCCAACUCAGCCCUGUAACAUUCAUCUUUUAAUUUGGAAAAUAAAUACGUAAA